UGCAGUGUAGCUCAAGGGUAGAGCAUGUGCUUUGCAUGUGCAAGGCCCUGGGUUUGAUUCCUAGCACCAA
rnacentral:tRNA from 1 species